rnacentral:lncRNA from 1 species
UAUUAGAAGCAGGUGUACGUUUACUCUGCCAAUAAAACUCCAUUAAUUUAAACGUACGAAAUGAAGUAUGAAGAGAAGCUUAGAGAAAAAAGAAUAAAAAGAAAUGAACAAAGCCUCCAAGAAAUAUGGAACUAUGUGAAGAGACCAAAUCUACGUAUGACUGGUGUACCUGAAAGUGACGGGGAGAAUGGAACCAAGUUGGAAAACACUCUGCAGGAUAUUAUCCAGGAGAACUUCCCCAAUCUAGCAAGGCAGGCCAACAUUCAAAUUCAGGAAAUACAGAGAACGCCACAAAGAUACUCCUCAAGAAGAGCAACUCCAAGACACAUAAUUGUCAGAUUCACCAAAGUUGAAAUGAAGGAAAAAAUGUUAAGGGUAGCCAGAGAGAAAGGUUGGGUUACCCACAAAGGGAAGCCCAUCAGACUAACAGCUGAUUUCUUGGCAGAA